GCCAAGUAUGGAGGCACAUGCCUGUAAUCGCAGCCACUUGCGAGGCUGAGACAGGAGAAUUGCUAAUUCGAGACCAGUUUCAGCAAUUUAGUAAGACCCUGACUCAA
rnacentral:sRNA from 1 species